rnacentral:rRNA from 1 species
UACGUAGGGUGCGAGCGUUAAUCGGAAUUACUGGGCGUAAAGCGUGCGCAGGCGGUUUUGUAAGCCAGAUGUGAAAUCCCCGGGCUUAACCUGGGAAUGGCAUUUGGGACUGCAAGGCUGGAGUUUGGCAGAGGAGACUGGAAUUCCUGGUGUAGCAGUGAAAUGCGUAGAUAUCAGGAGGAAUACCGAUGGCGAAGGCAGGUCUCUGGGCUAUAACUGACGCUCAUGCACGAAAGCGUGGGGAGCAGACAGG